UGCUGUAUAGCUCAGUGGUAGAGCACAUGCUUAGUGUGCAUAAGGUCCUGAGUUCAAUCCCCAGUACCUCCA
rnacentral:tRNA from 1 species